GAGGAAGUAAAGUUGGUAACAGGUUCCGUAGGUGAACUGCGGAAGGAUCAU
rnacentral:rRNA from 1 species